AACGCUGGCGGCGUGCUUAACACAUGCAAGUCGAACGGAAAGGCCCUGCUUUUGUGGGGUGCUCGAGUGGCGAACGGGUGAGUAACACGUGAGUAACCUGCCCUUGACUUUGGGAUAACUUCGGGAAACUGGGGCUAAUACCGGAUAGGAGCUCCUGCUGCAUGGUGGGGGUUGGAAAGUUUCGGCGGUUGGGGAUGGACUCGCGGCUUAUCAGCUUGUUGGUGGGGUAGUGGCUUACCAAGGCUUUGACGGGUAGCCGGCCUGAGAGGGUGACCGGCCACAUUGGGACUGAGAUACGGCCCAGACUCCUACGGGAGGCAGCAGUGGGGAAUAUUGCACAAUGGGCGGAAGCCUGAUGCAGCAACGCCGCGUGCGGGAUGACGGCCUUCGGGUUGUAAACCGCUUUCGCCUGUGACGAAGCGUGAGUGACGGUAAUGGGUAAAGAAGCACCGGCUAACUACGUGCCAGCAGCCGCGGUGAUACGUAGGGUGCGAGCGUUGUCCGGAUUUAUUGGGCGUAAAGGGCUCGUAGGUGGUUGAUCGCGUCGGAAGUGUAAUCUUGGGGCUUAACCCUGAGCGUGCUUUCGAUACGGGUUGACUUGAGGAAGGUAGGGGAGAAUGGAAUUCCUGGUGGAGCGGUGGAAUGCGCAGAUAUCAGGAGGAACACCAGUGGCGAAGGCGGUUCUCUGGGCCUUUCCUGACGCUGAGGAGCGAAAGCGUGGGGAGCGAACAGGCUUAGAUACCCUGGUAGUCCACGCUGUAAACGGUGGGUACUAGGUGUGGGGUCCAUUCCACGGGUUCCGUGCCGUAGCUAACGCUUUAAGUACCCCGCCUGGGGAGUACGGCCGCAAGGCUAAAACUCAAAGGAAUUGACGGGGCCCCGCACAAGCGGCGGAGCAUGCGGAUUAAUUCGAUGCAACGCGUAGAACCUUACCUGGGUUUGACAUGGAUCGGGAGUGCUCAGAGAUGGGUGUGCCUCUUUUGGGGUCGGUUCACAGGUGGUGCAUGGCUGUCGUCAGCUCGUGUCGUGAGAUGUUGGGUUAAGUCCCGCAACGAGCGCAACCCUUGUUCACUGUUGCCAGCACGUUAUGGUGGGGACUCAGUGGAGACCGCCGGGGUCAACUCGGAGGAAGGUGGGGAUGACGUCAAGUCAUCAUGCCCCUUAUGUCCAGGGCUUCACGCAUGCUACAAUGGCUGGUACAGAGAGUGGCGAGCCUGUGAGGGUGAGCGAAUCUCGGAAAGCCGGUCUCAGUUCGGAUUGGGGUCUGCAACUCGACCUCAUGAAGUCGGAGUCGCUAGUAAUCGCAGAUCAGCAACGCUGCGGUGAAUACGUUCCCGGGGCUUGUACACACCGCCCGUCAAGUCAUGAAAGUUGGUAACACCCGAAGCCGGUGGCCUAACCGAUGUGGGGGAGCCGUCGAAGGUGGGACUGGUGAUUAG
rnacentral:rRNA from 1 species